UUGCAUUAGAAUUAGAAUCUAAAUAUACUAAAAUCGCUCCCUCUAAUAUAAUUGUAACAAUU
rnacentral:tRNA from 1 species